UUUAUACUUCAUCCGUGUCAAAAUUCUUGUCUUAGAUUUGUGUAGAUAUGAAGGUAUUUAGUCAUGUUUUAAUAUUUACAUAUAUUCAUUUUUAGAUAAACCUAAGACAUGAAUUUUGGGACGGAGGAAGUAUGAU
rnacentral:pre_miRNA from 1 species